rnacentral:rRNA from 1 species
UACGUAGGGGGCAAGCGUUAUCCGGAGUUACUGGGUGUAAAGGGAGCGUAGACGGUGAUGUAAGUCUGGAGUGAAAGGCGGGGGCCCAACCCCCGGACUGCUCUGGAAACUAUGUGACUGGAGUGCAGGAGAGGUGAGCGGAAUUCCUAGUGUAGCGGUGAAAUGCGUAGAUAUUAGGAGGAACACCAGUGGCGAAGGCGGCUCACUGGACUGUAACUGACGUUGAGGCUCGAAAGCGUGGGGAGCAAAUAGG